GUUCACCAGCCCACAGCCUUUUCUAGCGUCGUCCCCUCUUUUAACAGAGGACCAGGAGUGUGGUGUCGUAUUCCAUCAUUUUCCUAGAGCAUACUGCUUUGGUUUUGGGGAUACAGUGUUUUCAAAUGUGAAGGAUUGAAGAUACCACCCUCGGUUUGUAUGUUAAUUUCAGCAACAACAUAUGUCAUUCUGCCCUUUGAGACCUUGUCACCCACCGCUCCAAGACAGGCCACUUCCUCUGAGGCUAUGGAAACCCAGCCUGCGUGUUCAAAUAGCCUCUAGCUUCUUGCUGGUAUGCAAUAAAUAUUAAUAAUUAUUCAAUCAAUCAAUAUGCCACCUUUCAUAAGCACUAAAUUUUUCACAGUAUAAAAAUACAACUGACAUUUUAUUGAAAUUUAAGACUUUUCCAGGGUUCACUUUUAUCUUUGAUCUGAGUAUAUGUCUAUAGAAACAUAUAUGCAUGCUGAUAUCCUCUUAAAAAGGACUGUUAAUGUCAAAAAAUGUUUAUUUUGCCUCUUGACAUCUCCAGGUCUUUGCUUUCUUCACUUUUCCUAAUCAUUCUUUGUCUGUAUGUAAUAUUCUUGUUGUCUUUAAAAGCAUUCAAUAUGCAGCAUGCCUGUAAGAUCGAGCCUAUUUAAAGAUGUCAUUUUAGUGAACUAUAGGAAAUUGUCUGCCACUGAAUACCGCCUCAAGAUAAUUCUGCUAUGACCUUGUACCCAAAGGUUUGUCUCCUCUCCCAGAGUCUGCCCACUUAGAAACACAGUAUUUAGUCAAAAACAUUUGCUUUCCUUCUGAGGUUGUCAGAAUUAGCAAAGGAAAAUACGUGGCACCCAGUUAAAUUAGAGUUUCUUC
ensembl:lncRNA